UUUCCGUAGGUGAACCUGCGGAAGGAUCAUUAACACAUCCUAACAACAAACUCAAUUGUUCUCACACCAAGAACUACUGUGUUUUCACAACAACAAACACCAUAACUGCUUGUGUGUGGAGUGCCUCCGAAAGGCGGCGCUCCGGACACGGGCACCCCUACAUCCAACCACAAACCCCUUUCACUAAACCAAAACAAACAUUUAACAACCCCAUUCUAAAACCAAAACAUAUCUAAAAAUCUAAUGUCUAAACGACUCUUAGCAACGGAUAUCUUGGUUCUC
rnacentral:misc_RNA from 1 species